AGAAAGGAAGAUAUGUGUGAUAGAGGGAUAGUAUUAGGGAGAGUGAGAGGUAUAUGUGAUACAGAGAGGAAGGCCAAUAUAUCCGAUACAUAAAUAGAGGGAGGGAAAGCGAUGUUUAUCCAAUAGAGAGGAGCGGUGGGAAAGAGAGAGUGACAGUGUAUAGUAGUGCUGUGUUAUAGUAGUGUUGUUAUAGUAGUGUUGUAUAUAUAUUAUAAGAAGCGUGAUGUGUAGGAGAAGGCGAGGUAGCCAGCUCGACUGGCUUUCUGGCUGAGUAUAUUUCUGAUCAAUUCACACAACGGACACUUUUUUUAAUCAAGUUUGGGAAUUAUUUUACUGCUGUGUCCAUUUUAAUAUCCUCACAAACGGAGACAAGAAGAGAAAGAGAGACUCAGGCUGCUGGAUCUAACGUGAGAGAGAAAGACGGUGAUAAUAUAUACAGAGAAGAAACUCACACACCCACAAGAUAGAGAGAGAGACUGAAAAAUUCUUGUAUUACAGUUUCACCGGUGGCCUGAACUAAGAAGGCCUUGUAAAUAUAUAUAUAAAUAUAUCAUAUUAUAUAUUGUUAUAUAUGUUAUGUGGCUAGCCAAGGUUAAGUGAAUUAACCAGUUAGUUAACCAUGGAUCUUCUACAGCCUGCUUACUCAGUAAUAGUAGCGAAAAUAGUUGCGGCAACAGUACUUCUACUCUCUAUACAGCUAGAUCAUUUCCGACACCCUUCUCUCAUUUUGUGAACGAUCACCUACCAGCUUCCUUCAUUGUUAUGUGUGUCUAUACAUAUAUAUGAUAUAUAUAUAAUAUAUAUUAUAUAUGUGUAUGUCUAUAUUGUAUAUAUAUAUUGUAUAUAUUUAACCGCACGUAUAUCUAUAUAUAUUUAUAUAUUAUAUAUGUAUAUCUAUUACACACACAUACACAUGACAGUCAGAAGUAUUUUUCACACAACCAAGGAUUAUUUAAUAUACUUUUUUACUCACGCCAACCAAAGGAUUACCAAACAAACGGAGAAGAAUCCGACACUACGCCUAAUCCGGAUGUAUACGACGAAUAUAUAUUUACUCACUUGAUAUAGAAUAGAUAUAUAGAUAUAUACAUAUAUAUAUAAAUGCGUGUGUAUAUAUAUACAUGUUAGAGUGUAUAUGUAUAUAUAGAGGUAUGUGUGAAUGUGUGUGAUUGCGGUGUGUUGUAAAAGAAAAGUAUUCUAUCAGCCUUGUAUAUUGUGCGUGCGUGUGGUGUGAGUGUGUGAGUGAGUGAGUGUGUGCGUGUAUGUGAGUGUGCGUGUGAGUGUGUAUGUAUGCAUGUACGUAUAUAUACACACACACGUGCAAAAGAAAUACUAUACAUAGAUAUAUAUAUAUGUGUGUAUAUAUAUAUGUCUGUAUGCUUGUUAAAUACAUUUAUCUGUGCGUGUGAGUGUGUGUGAAUGUGCGAAGGGCAGUUUGCUGGUGUGGUUUGCCCAGUGCUGUAGUAAAUAAAUAAAUCUAUAAAAAAUAAAAUUAAAUUUAAAAAAAAAAAAAAGGAAUUUCAAAAGUCCUAAAGUGACUGCCCAGCCAGACAUCGU